rnacentral:rRNA from 1 species
GACGAACGCUGGCGGCGUGCUUAACACAUGCAAGUCGAGCGGUAAGGCCCUUUCGGGGGGUACACGAGCGGCGAACGGGUGAGUAACACGUGGGUGACCUGCCCUCAGCUCUGGGAUAAGCCUGGGAAACCGGGUCUAAUACUGGAUAUGACUCCAUGACGCAUGUUGUGGGGUGGAAAGCCUUGUGCGGCUGAGGAUGGGCCCGCGGCCUAUCAGCUUGUUGGUGGGGNGAUGGCCUACCAAGGCGACGACGGGUAGCCGGCCUGAGAGGGCGACCGGCCACACUGGGACUGAGACACGGCCCAGACUCCUACGGGAGGCAGCAGUGGGGAAUCUUGCGCAAUGGGCGAAAAGCCUGACGCAGCG